GAUGAACGCUGGCGGCGUGCCUAAUACAUGCAAGUCGAGCGAACGGACGAGAAGCUUGCUUCUCUGAUGUUAGCGGCGGACGGGUGAGUAACACGUGGAUAACCUACCUAUAAGACUGGGAUAACUUCGGGAAACCGGAGCUAAUACCGGAUAAUAUUUUGAACCGCAUGGUUCAAAAGUGAAAGACGGUCUUGCUGUCACUUAUAGAUGGAUCCGCGCUGCAUUAGCUAGUUGGUAAGGUAACGGCUUACCAAGGCAACGAUGCAUAGCCGACCUGAGAGGGUGAUCGGCCACACUGGAACUGAGACACGGUCCAGACUCCUACGGGAGGCAGCAGUAGGGAAUCUUCCGCAAUGGGCGAAAGCCUGACGGAGCAACGCCGCGUGAGUGAUGAAGGUCUUCGGAUCGUAAAACUCUGUUAUUAGGGAAGAACAUAUGUGUAAGUAACUGUGCACAUCUUGACGGUACCUAAUCAGAAAGCCACGGCUAACUAGGUG
rnacentral:rRNA from 1 species